rnacentral:lncRNA from 1 species
AGUUAUCUUCUGUGGGAUAUAUGAUAAAGAUUAUGUUUUAUGUUCUAGUGAGAUUUUUGUCCAUGGAGAUUUGAAAUGGGAUAUUUUCCAAGUAAUGAUAUCAAGAUCAACAACACCAGACCUGAUAAAAAUAGGCAUGAAGCUCCAGGAAUUUUUCACACAACAGUUUGACACCAGCAAACGAGCUCUGUCUACUUGGGGACCAGUUCCUUAUCUUCCACCAAAGACAGUGACUAACAACCUAGAGAAAAGUUCACAAGAACAAUGUAAGAAUUAGAAUUAAUUUUUUGUAUAUGCU